rnacentral:rRNA from 1 species
UACGAAGGGGGCUAGCGUUGUUCGGAAUCACUGGGCGUAAAGCGCACGUAGGCGGAUCUUUAAGUCAGGGGUGAAAUCCCGAGGCUCAACCUCGGAACUGCCUUUGAUACUGGGGAUCUCGAGUCCGGGAGAGGUGAGUGGAACUGCGAGUGUAGAGGUGAAAUUCGUAGAUAUUCGCAAGAACACCAGUGGCGAAGGCGGCUCACUGGCCCGGAACUGACGCUGAGGUGCGAAAGCUAGGGGAGCGAACAGG